rnacentral:rRNA from 1 species
CCGCGGUAAUACCAGCUCUCCGAGUGGUGUGGAUGUUAUUGGGCCUAAAGCAUCCGUAGCUGGCUAAGUAGUCCCUUGUUAAAUCCACCGAAUUAAUCGUUGGAUUGCGGGGGAUACUGCUGGCUAGGGGACGAGAGAGGCAGACGGUAUUUCCGGGGUAGGGGUGAAAUCCUAUAAUCCCGGGAAGACCACCAGUGGCGAAGGCUGUCUGCUAGAACGCGCCCGACGGUGAGGGAUGAAAGCUGGGGGAGCGAACCGGAUUAGAUACCCGGGUAGUCCCAGCUGUAAACGAUGCAGGCUAGGUGUUUGGACGGCCACGUGCCGUUCUAGUGCCGCAGGGAAGCUGUUAAGCCUGCCGCCUGGGGAGUACGAUCGCAAGAUUGAAACUUAAAGGAAUUGGCGGGGGAGCACCACAAGGGGUGAAGCUUGCGGUUUAAUUGGAGUCAACGCCGGAAAUCUCACCGGGAGCGACAGCAGUGUGAAGGCCAGAUUAAAGGUCUUGCCAGACGAGCUGAGUGGAGGUGCAUGG